AGCGGCGGACGGGUGAGUAACGCGUGGGUAACCUACCCCAAAGUCCGGGAUAACAGCGGGAAACCGCUGCUAAUACCGGAUGCCUUUACCUUGUGGCAUCUCAAGGUAAAGAAAGGCUACGCUUUAGGAUGGGCCCGCGUCCCAUUAGCUAGUUGGUGAGGUAACGGCUCACCAAGGCGACGAUGGGUAGCCGGCCUGAGAGGGUGGACGGCCACACUGGGACUGAGACACGGCCCAGACUCC
rnacentral:rRNA from 1 species